GACAGCGCCACUCGCUGGGGUCCCUGGGACAACGGUGUAAGCUCACACAGGCUGUAAUCCUAUUUCUGCAUCUCAUGGAGCCACAUGAACUCCCUGGCCCUCCUGGUGUGACACGUGGAGUGUGUCUGACUUUAUGUGGGCAAAGGCAUAGAUGUUCUCAGGAGGGUAUGGCUGGACUUCACGAUGCACAGGGGUGAGGGUCCGUCAUCAGAGCAGGUCAGACUCAUCACAAAGGUCACCGCUGGUCUCUAGUCCUCAUGGUCCCUGGAAAUGAAGGUCUUCGCCUGUGUGCGGGUGAGGGAGCCAUUACCCCCUCCAGCGGCUGUGAGUGAGGGUGCAGGCUCAGUGGGGUGCAGUCCUGGUGGGCACAUUGCUAUCGUCUGGGAGGCCAUCAGCUGGGGUCCUCAAUGGCAAAGGCUGCUGGGGUUCCUGCUUUGCUUUCCCCACAGGGUAAGUUCCAGCCCCAGGACUCCCCUGGCAGGGUCCGGCACACAGGCCCUCAGAGUGGGGCAGGCCUGAGUCCUAGGCUCAGGAGGGUGGAACUGCUGGGCUCCAGGGGCUGAGACACAGUAGCCAUGGCAGUGGUGGUGGCACCAGUGUCUGAGGUACGACAGUGACAACCUGCUGACUAGGGCCCAGGUGUCUGGGGCUCACCCUGUGCCUCAGGUGGUGGGGGGGAGCGCGAUCUGGGGCACAGCAGUGGGUGCUCCAGCCCUGGGAGGUUGGAGGCGGGCACGCCGGGAAGCCCCUCCCUGGGAUUGAGCCUUGGCAGCCAAGGCUGCAGGAGUCAGUGACGUCACCUCCAAAGGUGCUUUUGAAACAAACAUAAUGUAGUCAACGAGUGUCUGUGACACACUUUCAAUAAAAUUUCCAUUUUAGAGUAGUUUUAGACUUACAGACAAUUGUGAAGAUAGCACAGAGAUUUGUAUACCCUGUAUCCAGGUUCUUCUGUGAUUAACAUCCUACAUUCGUGAGGUUUAUUUGUCACCAUUGAUGGCGAUGGCGACAAGUCUAAGGGGAGCAGUCUGGGAAGCCCAGGAUGCCAUGUCCUCCCUGGGGAUCCGAGGGUUGCAGCUCCUUGUGACAUGGGGGCAGGUGCUGGUUUGUAUUUUAAAGUAAGCCAGAGAGAUCAAGAGAAAAUGGCUCCAGAGGCUGCGUUGGAGAACUAGUGUCAAAGUAGCUCAGAGUGGACCAUUAUCCCCGGAUUUGGAGAAGUCACAGGCACAUUUGUGAAAAAUAUCUUGCCUUACAUGCUUGAGUGUUUGGACUUAAAGUUCCUCAACGUGUUGACUUGGCGCUGACUUCGUUUCCUGAGUGUUCGGAAACCACAUUGUUACAUGUUGUCUGACCAAUGGAAUCCUUUCAAAGAAAAUGACCCGCUGGGGUGUAUUUUCAUGAAGAAUUAUGCCUUCUGUCUUAUAAAUGUAAAUAUCUUAAAUGAUAGGUCUUGUGGUUGCAGAUUGUAGGUCUUAUGCAUUCUCACAGGGGAAAAAUGUGCUCUAGGAACUGAAAACUUUACAAGCUGACUUUAAAAUGGGUUGGCAGCUGACAGAUAAUGGAACACAGCUUUAAUCAGAAAACUAUGUUCUAACAAAUUGGCAGGGAGACCGGCAGUGAAUGAGUGGUGGCACAGCCACCCGUGGUCUCAGGCGCUCCGGGGACUAUUGCGUUAUGCUCUUGUGCAUGUUUUUGUUUACACACCACAGGCUUAGGUUACUCACAACUCUGACUCAGGAGACUCUCCCCUGCCUGGAAGUGAGUUCACCUUCGGUAACUCUGUACUUCCCAAAGCCACACUUUCACAACCGGGGGGCGUGUCCACUCUCAGGUCUGCAGAGACAGGCUGUGUGCGCUGUCUCACCACCACGUGUCGCAAACCCAGAAAAGGAGGCCCCGAGUUUAGAGUUUGCUCAGAGUUCCAGAGCCAACUCAGUAGAAAAGGGAAGUCCGGGAACAGUGUCCUGGCUUGUCGGCCAGUAGUUUUGUGGGUUUUGUUGUUCUUGUUCGGUUCAUAAGGUAGACAUGAGUCUACUGUAUGCACGUCCUCCCUAGGUUACUCCAGCACGGGAGGCACUGCUGGAAAGUGAUGACUCCAGAGACAUCCCCUGUGAAUCUCUCUCCACUGACAGCUCUCCAGGACGGCACACGGUCCCCCCUCACUCUCCUGGUCGUGACGCAUGGCAUCUCUUCUCGUGGGCCACUUGCCAUCCUGGGCCUAUCCUGAUGUUUCACAGGUUUAAUUCUUGGAAAAAGUCAGUAGGAGUUACACCCACGUCCCUGAAGACACUGCUUUCCUGGGGCUGUGAUGCUUUCCAGGACUUGGGGCAAUUCUAGGGGGAGUAAUCGGCCUCCGAAAAGAUGCUCAGAGGCCGGCCACGUAAGUGAUCACAGAAUAAAAAGGGUUGGGCCACAGGCCCUGCAAAGUGUAAAGAGAAGUGUUUAUUGAAUUUAGAAAAAAAAUCUCUUUUGGAGAAUAGGCAAUUUUCAUAUGAAGUGAAGUAAGACAUUAGAGUGAGUCACAUUCUGUGAGCACCUGACUUCCGUCCCUGUUGGGCAAUAUCCAUGAUUGCAUUGUGAGCAAGAAGCCCAGCACACAUUUAAACUCCCUUAUUUUGUUUUUAGCAGAAAUAUAUAAUUUAUCAAGUGUCAACAUCGACAGCUUCCUUUGAAGAACGUCCCGGAACUUUCUUGCUGUUUUGCACCAUGAUUAAAAUGGGACAUCACAGGAUUGGGCAACGGGAGAGGAGCAGCUAUUCUGAUGAAGCUGGUCCAAACCAAGGGUGAGCUGCGUGGACCUAAGGCUCCUGCAUGACGACAAAAAUAAGAUUUCAUACAAAGAUUCUUGUGACCGAGAGGCAUGCGCAUUCGCAGUUGUCUAUUAUGAUAAAAUAUAAGUUCAUCGUGAACAUUUUAAAAAUUCAACUAUUUUAGCCAGUUCUGGGUUCCUAGAAGGUCUUCUUAUUUUUAAAAUGUUUGAUUAAAACCAAAGCCUCAAUCAUCAUCAGCAGCAGCAGAUCACUGAAAGCUCACGGUAGAGCUGGGCACUUGGCUUCAUACCCAACGCGAGCGAUUCCAUUUCCUUCUGCGGCUCCCUGAGGAGACCCAUCCCCGGGCAGCACAGCAGUGAUGAGAAGCACUGAGCACUCACAUCUGUCCUUCGCUUGCCUAGAAUCCAGGGGCACAGGAAGUUAGGGCUGAUAAUGGCCCUGACCUCACAGAAUAAGUGAGUGGAAAAGUAAAACACUGGGAAAUGCCCGCUACUGUUAAUGAAAACCGAGGCGGAGGCCAGGUCAGUAACUGGCUCAAGGCCACAUGGAUAAGAAGAGGCAAUCCGAGAAGUUUAACCCCCUUAGGCAGUCCCACUUCAGAGAACUCUCAACUACGCCACUAUCCUAUAAGAAAAACUUAACAGAUGACAUUAAAUUACUUGAAGUCAUGUUCUCUUCCUGGGCACACAGCCAGAUCAAAUUUGCAAGCAUUUUUUGCAGGUAGAUGAGGACAUAAGAAAAAAUGGGUAGGAGGAUUUUGAAAAAAACAUUUGAGCUGGGUAUUGAAGCUUCAGAAGGAGCAAGUUGGCAAUUCUGAACUGCAAGGCACACUCUGCUUCUCUGUGAACUUGGAUCUUCUGGGUGAUGUUGAAUAAAAACCGAUCUGUUCCUUUA